AGUGAACGCUGGCGGUAGGCCUAACACAUGCAAGUCGAACGGCAGCACAGUAAGAGCUUGCUCUUACGGGUGGCGAGUGGCGGACGGGUGAGGAAUACAUCGGAAUCUACUUUUUCGUGGGGGAUAACGUAGGGAAACUUACGCUAAUACCGCAUACGACCUACGGGUGAAAGCAGGGGAUCUUCGGACCUUGCGCGAUUGAAUGAGCCGAUGUCGGCUUAGCUAGUUGGCGGGGUAAAGGCCCACCAAGGCGACGAUCCGUAGCUGGUCUGAGAGGAUGAUCAGCCACACUGGAACUGAGACACGGUCCAGACUCCUACGGGAGGCAGCAGUGGGGAAUAUUGGACAAUGGGCGCAAGCCUGAUCCAGCCAUACCGCGUGGGUGAAGAAGGCCUUCGGGUUGUAAAGCCCUUUUGUUGGGAAAGAAAAGCAGCAGGUUAAUACCCCGCUGUUCUGACGGUACCCAAAGAAUAAGCACCGGCUAACUUCGCG
rnacentral:rRNA from 1 species